ACAUCAUUGUCUCUGUCUGGUUACAGAACCCAGACCAGCUCUCCGUCAUUGAAAUAAUCAUAGAGGGAACCUAAACACAAAAUCCCAGGUGAUGGACGAUAUUGUAGAGCAGUGUUUGGUAGAAGUGGGGCAGUUGGUCCAGAAGAUUCAGCAGCAGCUCCAUCUGGGGUACCACACACAGUGACACAGGACUCAGUGUUGUGUAUAUGUAUCUGACUUACCGGGGUUUCCAGCCAGCACCUGUUCCUUGAGUUCGGCC